UAAAGGAAGCGAUUCCGGCUACGGAUGGUCAUGCGUCGCAUUAGCUAGUUGGCGGGGUAACGGCCCACCAAGGCGACGAUGCGUAGGGGUUCUGAGAGGAAGGUCCCCCACACUGGUACUGAGACACGGACCAGACUCCUACGGGAGGCAGCAGUGAGGAAUAUUGGUCAAUGGCCGCAGGGCUGAACCAGCCAAGUCGCGUGAGGGAUGACGGUCCUAUGGAUUGUAAACCUCUUUUGUCAGGGAGCAAAGGACGCCACGUGUGGCGUUUUGCGAGUACCUGAAGAAAAAGCAUCGGCUAACUCCGUGCCAGCAGCCGCGGUAAUACGGAGGAUGCGAGCGUUAUCCGGAUUUAUUGGGUUUAAAGGGUGCGCAGGCGGAAUGUCAAGUCAGCGGUAAAAUUUCGGGGCUCAACCCCGUCGUGCCGUUGAAACUGGCGUUCUUGAGUGAGCGAGAAGUAUGCGGAAUGCGUGGUGUAGCGGCGAAAUGCAUAGAUAUCACGCAGAACUCCGAUUGCGAAGGCAGCAUACCGGCGCUCAACUGACGCUCAUGCACGAAAGCGUGGGUAUCGAACAGGAUUAGAUACCCUGGUAGUCCACGCAGUAAACGAUGAAUACUAACUGUCCGGGCCGAUUGAGGUCUGG
rnacentral:rRNA from 1 species